rnacentral:rRNA from 1 species
GACGAACGCUGGCGGCGUGCUUAACACAUGCAAGUCGUACGGUAAGGCCCUUUCGGGGGUACACGAGUGGCGAACGGGUGCGUAACACGUACGUAACCUGCCCACAACUUUGGGAUAACGCUAGGAAACUGGUGCUAAUACUGGAUAUGUGCUCCUUCUGCAUGGUGGGGGUUGGAAAGCUCCGGCGGGUGUGGAUGGACUCGCGGCCUAUCUGCUUGUUGGUGGGGUAGUGGCCUACCAAGGCGGCGACGGGUAGCCGGCCUGAGGGGGUGACCUGCCACAUUGGGACUGAGAUACGGCCCAGACUCCGACGGGAGGCAGCAGUGGGGAAUAUUGCACAAUGGGCGCAAGCCUGAUGCAGCAACGCCGCGGGCGGGAUGACGGCCUUCGGGUUGUAAACCGCUUUCAGCAGGGACGAAGCUUUUUGUGACGGUACCUGCAGAAGAAGCACCGGCUAACUACGUG